CAGCCGCCGCGGUAAUACGAAGGUCCCGAGCGUUGUUCGGAAUCACUGGGCGUAAAGGGAGCGUAGGCGGCGUGGUAAGUCAGAUGUGAAAUCCCGGGGCUCAACCCCGGAACUGCAUCCGAUACUGCCAUGCUAGAGGAUUGGAGAGGUAGCUGGAAUUCUUGGUGUAGCAGUGAAAUGCGUGGAGAUCAAGAGGAACACUCGUGGCGAAAGCGAGCUACUGGACAAUAACUGACGCUGAGGCUCGAAGGCCAGGGUAGCGAAAGGGAUUAGAGACCCCAGUAGUCCCUGUCUCUUAUAC
rnacentral:rRNA from 1 species